UACAGAGGUGGCAAGCGUUGUUCGGAAUUACUGGGCGUAAAGGGCGCGUAGGCGGCCUUCUAAGUCAGACGUGAAAUCCCCCGGCUUAACCUGGGAACUGCGUCUGAUACUGGGAGGCUAGAGUAUGGGAGAGGGAUGUAGAAUUCCAGGUGUAGCGGUGAAAUGCGUAGAUAUCUGGAGGAAUACCGGUGGCGAAGGCGGCAUCCUGGACCGGCAUUGACGCUGAGGCGCGAAAGCCAGGGGAGCAAACGGG
rnacentral:rRNA from 1 species